rnacentral:lncRNA from 1 species
GGGAAAGAAGAAACGGACGAGAGAUCGGAAUCUCUGGAAUUGAUCUCUCGAAAGAAAUGAGGAGAAAAAGAAAAAGAGAAGGGUUUGACGUCCGGAGAUUGGAUUUGCAGAGAUCCGGUCUGAAAACUGGAUUGGUAUAUUUCUUGGCAGUAGUUUGGAAGAGUGGUUGACGAAGAACUGGAAAAUUGGUAGUAUCGGGAGCAUUCUAG